CCCUUGGUAUGGGAAUGUAAAUAGUGAGAUAGUUAGCUCAGAUGAGCUGUAAGCUAGCUGAAUGUAGCCCACAGGAAAUCCCCCAAAACACAGCUGACAUGACAUUAUUAUGACAGCUGGUACAGACCCUGGGUCAGGCAAGGAGGUAUUUUUAAUGCAACCAAACUAAAGCCGGCUAACAAGCUAACUUUAGCCAACUGCUACCUAGCUUAACCAAAGACCCACUUUGGUUUUACAAACGGACCAUCACAACAAAGAAAAAGGGAAUGGAAAGGUCUUCCUGGUGUGGCUCCAGAGCAGCAGCCGCCGCACUGCAAUGGCAGGCAGUGGAUGAAGCCUUCCUUCUCCCCCCCCCUCUGCUCUCACACUUCGGCUGCCGUCACCGCCGCGGUGACAGUGACAGGUUCGCCUGGAAGAAACCACUCCGAUUUUUCCGAGGGGGGAGGGGUAGGGAUGCAGAGAGAGGCUGUCCGCAGCAGCAGCAGCAGCUCAGCAGCAGCUACCCAGCAGCAUCAAGCGCCAUUCCAGCCUGAGAGAUCAGACGUACCAGGUGACACGAAAUGACCUCACAUCCCUGGCCCUGCGGAUCAUGUGACAACAGCCACCAACAACCAAAUCCUCCCUGGAUCAAACUACAGCAUCAUGUCCAGUUGCAAAGAAGCAAUCACCUAAGUAUGUUUAUCCCAGGAGAGGAGCACUAAUGCUAAUAAAGACGAACAAUUCCAAUCAGUUAAUGUGGAUACGUGUGUGACGGAGAGGUCUUUAAAGGCAAAAUAGUGAGUUUGGAAUUGUUUUGUUUUUGAAGACUAGAUCAUAUUGCAGUGUUAACCAUAAAGUUGGAUUCCUUGAGGGGAAUAAAAGCUUUUUAAAGCCGCA
ensembl:lncRNA